AUUGAACGCUGGCGGCAUGCCUUACACAUGCGAGUCGAACGGCAGCACGGGAGCAAUCCUGGUGGCGAGUGGCGAACGGGUGAGUAAAGUAUCGGAACGUGCCCAGUCGUGGGGGAUAACGUAGCGAAAGUUACGCUAAUACCGCAUACGAUCUAUGGAUGAAAGCGGGGGAUCGCAAGACCUCGCGCGAUUGGAGCGGCCGAUAUCAGAUUAGGUAGUUGGUGGGGUAAAGGCUCACCAAGCCGACGAUCUGUAGCUGGUCUGAGAGGACGGCCAGCCAAACUGGGACUGAGACACGGCCCCGACUCCUACGGGAGGCAGCAGUGGGGAAUUUUGGAAAAUGGGCGAAAGCCUGAUCCAGCCAUGCCGCGUGCAGGCUGAAGGCCUGCGGGUUGUAAACUGCUUUUGUACGGAACGAAAAGGUUUGGCCUAAUAAGCUGAGCUCAUGACGGUACCGUAAGAAUAAGCACCGGCUAACUACGUGCCAGCAGCCGCGGUAA
rnacentral:rRNA from 1 species